UACGUAGGGGGGCAAGCGUUGUCCGGAAUCAUUGGGCGUAAAGCGCGUGUAGGCGGCUCGGUAAGUCUGCUGUGAAAGUCCAGGGCUCAACCCUGGGAUGCCGGUGGAUACUGUCGAGCUCGAGUCCGGAAGAGGAAAGUGGAAUUCCUGGUGUAGCGGUGAAAUGCGCAGAUAUCAGGAAGAACACCAAUGGCGAAAGCAGCUUUCUGGGACGGUACUGACGCUGAGACGCGAAAGCGUGGGGAGCGAACAGG
rnacentral:rRNA from 1 species